rnacentral:lncRNA from 10 species
ACUCACUGCAGAUGUUACUUUAAGACAUUCUGGAGCAGCGUCAUGUGCAGGUGCGUAGUGCCUCCGCCCAUCUCUCUCUUGCUCCUGGUCUCAUCGUGACGGGCCUGGUCCUGCCUCACUUUAUGCCACGACUAAGAGCUCCCUGAGGCCUCUCCAGAAGCAGAUAUCACUAUGCUUCCUACACAGCCUGCAGAACCGUGAGCCAAUUAAACAUCUCUUCUUAUAAGUUACCUAGUCUCAGGUAUUUCUUUAUAGCAGUGCAACAAC